rnacentral:tRNA from 1 species
GCCUGGGUGGCUCAGUCGGUUAAGCGUCCGACUUCAGCUCAGGUCACGAUCUCACGGUCUGUGAGUUCGAGCCCCGCCUCGGGCU